GAUGAACGCUGGCGGCGUGCCUAAUACAUGCAAGUCGAGCGAACGGACGAGAAGCUUGCUUCUCUGAUGUUAGCGGCGGACGGGUGAGUAACACGUGGAUAACCUACCUAUAAGACUGGGAUAACUUCGGGAAACCGGAGCUAAUACCGGAUAAUAUUUUGAACCGCAUGAUUCAAAAGUGAAAGACGGUCUUGCUGUCACUUAUAGAUGGAGCCGCGCUGCAUUAGCUAGUUGGUAAGGUAACGGCUUACCAAGGCAACGAUGCAUAGCCGACCUGAGAGGGUGAUCGGCCACACUGGAACUGAGACACGGUCCAGACUCCUACGGGAGGCAGCAGUAGGGAAUCUUCCGCAAUGGGCGAAAGCCUGACGGAGCAACGCCGCGUGAGUGAUGAAGGUCUUCGGAUCGUAAAACUCUGUUAUUAGGGAAGAACAUAUGUGUAAGUAACUGUGCACAUCUUGACGGUACCUAAUCAGAAAGCCACGGCUAACUACGUG
rnacentral:rRNA from 1 species